AGAGUUUGAUCAUGGCUCAGGACGAACGCCGGCGGCGUGCCUAACACAUGCAAGUCGAGCGAUGAAACCCUUCGGGGUGGAUUAGCGGCGGACGGGUGAGUAACACGUGGGUAACCUGCCUCAAAGAGGGGAAUAGCCUCCCGAAAGGGAGAUUAAUACCGCAUAAUAUGUUUUGAUCGCAUGAUCGAGACAUCAAAGGAUUUUCUUCGGAAAUUCCACUUUGAGAUGGACCCGCGGCGCAUUAGCUAGUUGGUGAGGUAACGGCCCACCAAGGCAACGAUGCGUAGCCGACCUGAGAGGGUGAUCGGCCACAUUGGAACUGAGACACGGUCCAGACUCCUACGGGAGGCAGCAGUGGGGAAUAUUGCGCAAUGGGGGAAACCCUGACGCAGCAACGCCGCGUGAAUGAUGAAGGCCUUCGGGUUGUAAAGUUCUGUCUUCUGGGACGAUAAUGACGUACCAGAGUAGAGC
rnacentral:rRNA from 1 species